GGGUUGUGAGGUUAAGCGACUAAGCGUACACGGUGGAUGCCCUGGCAGUCAGAGGCGAUGAAGGGCGUGCUAAUCUGCGAUAAGCGCCGGUAAGGUGAUAUGAACCGUUAUAACCGGCGAUACCCGAAUGGGGAAACCCAGUGUGAUUCGUCACACUAUCAUUACGUGAAUACAUAGCGUAAUGAAGCGAACCGGGGGAACUGAAACAUCUAAGUACCCCGAGGAAAAGAAAUCAACCGAGAUUCCCCCAGUAGCGGCGAGCGAACGGGGAGGAGCCCAGAGCCUGAAUCAGCAUGUGUGUUAGUGGAAGCGUCUGGAAAGGCGCGCGAUACAGGGUGACAGCCCCGUACACAAAAGCGCAUGUGUUGUGAGCUCGAUGAGUAGGGCGGGACACGUGGUAUCCUGUCUGAAUAUGGGGGGACCAUCCUCCAAGGCUAAAUACUCCUGACUGACCGAUAGUGAACCAGUACCGUGAGGGAAAGGCGAAAAGAACCCCGGCGAGGGGAGUGAAAAAGAACCUGAAACCGUGUACGUACAAGCAGUGGGAGCACCCUUUGGGGUGUGACUGCGUACCUUUUGUAUAAUGGGUCAGCGACUUAUAUUCUGUAGCAAGGUUAACCGAAUAGGGGAGCCGGAGGGAAACCGAGUCUUAAUUGGGCGUUAAGUUGCAGGGUAUAGACCCGAAACCCGGUGAUCUAGCCAUGGGCAGGUUG
rnacentral:rRNA from 1 species